rnacentral:rRNA from 1 species
UGGGGAAUAUUGGACAAUGGGGGAAACCCUGAUCCAGCAAUGCCGCGUGAGUGAUGAAGGCCUUAGGGUUGUAAAGCUCUUUCAGAAGUGAAGAUGAUGACGGUAACUUCAGAAGAAGCUCCGGCUAACUCCGUGCCAGCAGCCGCGGUAAUACGGAGGGAGCUAGCGUUGUUCGGAAUUACUGGGCGUAAAGAGCGUGUAGGCUGUUAGGUAAGUCAGAGGUGAAAUCCCUAAGCUCAACUUAGGAACUGCCUUUGAUACUAUCUUACUAGAGAUCGAGAGAAGUUGGCGGAAUUCCAAGUGUAGAGGUGAAAUUCGUAGAUAUUUGGAAGAACACCAGUGGCGAAAGCGGCCAACUGGCUCGUUUCUGACGCUAAGACGCGAAAGCGUGGGUAGCAAACAGG